AACGAACGCUGGCGGCAUGCCUAACACAUGCAAGUCGAACGAGACCUUCGGGUCUAGUGGCGCACGGGUGCGUAACGCGUGGGAAUCUGCCCUUGGGUUCGGAAUGACAGUUGGAAACGACUGCUAAUACCGGAUGAUGUCUUCGGACCAAAGAUUUAUCGCCCAGGGAUGAGCCCGCGUAAGAUUAGCUAGUUGGUGGGGUAAAGGCCUACCAAGGCGACGAUCUUUAGCUGGUCUGAGAGGAUGAUCAGCCACACUGGGACUGAGACACGGCCCAGACUCCGACGGGAGGCAGCAGUGGGGAAUAUUGGACAAUGGGCGCAAGCCUGAUCCAGCAAUGCCGCGUGAGUGAUGAAGGCCUUAGGGUUGUAAAGCUCUUUUACCCGGGAUGAUAAUGACAGUACCGGGAGAAUAAGCCCCGGCUAACUCCGUGCCAGCCGCCGCCGUAA
rnacentral:rRNA from 1 species